rnacentral:misc_RNA from 1 species
GUAGAAAAAGGUCCAGAUAUAUUCAAGGAUAUUGAAGCUGCUAACAGGAUUAGGAAAAGACAAAGAAAAAGAAAUCUAUCUCGUUUUGGGCAAGCUGGUGGUGUGAAGAAUCAGAUAUUUAUCAGAGAAGAAGAUAACUGUAUUUGCAAAAACCUCACUGCCAUGGUUGAUAAUGGUUGUGAUGUAGAGAAAAGUCCAGAUGUAGACAAGGAUGAUAGAGUUGGUAUUCCUAGAAGACCAAGAAGAAAAAGAGCUGCUAGAUAUAGGAGACAUAGAGAAUGUAAGAGUUUUCAUCAUCAGGCUGUAGUAAACAAUGUUCAAACCAAGGAAGAAUAUAGGACAAUUGAUAAUAUAUCUCAGAAGGAUCCUGUGCCCAUAACGUCCUCAAAGUCACCUUUAAGUACAAGUGAAAUGAUCACACAAUCAGGAUCUGUAGAAGUUGCUGAAAGUGAAUUAGAAUUUGAUAGGACAUGUUCAUUCCGGAAUACAAAAAGCAAUAAGUUGUCAAUAGAUGAACUGGAGUUGACUGUUCAAGAUAUUGAAUAUGCAGAGAGUUCAGAGUUUCCAGUUAGCAAAACUGAUUUUGGGAUUGCCAGUGUAUUGCUGUCAAAUUCAAAUCCAAAAGAGCCUGAUGCGACCGACGCUGCUCCUACUCAAUCAAUGAGUAAUAAAUUUCUCAAGUACACAUUCCAAAGGAAAAGGAAGAGGAAAUUGCCAAGCAGCCCAGAUGGUGAUUCCUCUCUUAACAAUGGUAUUUUUAAGAGAAAGAUGGGGGAGAAACAAAGUAGUUCUAUGGAGUCACUUGAGUCGAGCAUGAUAACUGAAUCAUCAAGAGACAAUCAGAGGAUGGCACAGGUUGCUUGUCAGGUUGGUUAAUGUUCAGGUUUGCCUGUUUAGUGUACAACUUCUAUGGUUGUUCGUCACUGCUUGUUUGUUUGCCUAUAUGCUUAUCUUGUAAUUUUGCAUGGACAUUAUCUCUAAAACUGAUGAAAUUUUAGAUCAAAUUCAAAUGAUAUCACUACAUGUUCAGGCACAAUUGGAACAAUAACAUGAAGCCCUGUUCUGAACUGGAAUAAUUAUGCUUGUGAUCUUGCUCAGGAUGAAUUGUUAUGAAAUUGCUUGCUUAGUUUAUUAGUAGAGUCAUAUCUGUGGACAACAGAGAACCUUACUCAUGGAAGACUUCUAGAUACUCUCCACUUUUAUACUUUUCUCAUGGUAUGCCCCAGCAGAAGCAACCUGGUCACUGAAAGCUUUUGGAGAUCUUAGAAGAUCUGCAAUUUUCUACGGACAGUAGGUUUUCUUGCACUAUCAAAUAUCAUGGGAUCUCCACAAUGUAGAUAUUCUAAUGUGUUUUGUUUAAAUUUAGAUAUGUAAAAACCAUCCCACCGGCAUCAUCAUGGGUCCUAGCUUUUCAGAAGAAUUUUUACAAAUACAGUAUUAGCAAUGACUCAAUUAAAUUAGAGCAAUGCUUUAGCAACAUAAGACAGGAAUAAUUAGUUGCAUAAUCAACCAUAGGAGACAUUAGUACAACUAUGUAGUUUGAAUCUUUCCCAUUAAAGAUUCAUUCAUAAACUCUUGUUUGAUAACUUUUAUUGUGUGCUGCUGAUCUGUACUCUAUGUUUAAUACUCUUGCCGUGCGAAGGUAUGUGUGUGUCCAACUGUGCAUAUAUAAACUCAUCAUCUCCAACAAAAUCCAUAUGAGUUAAUUCCCUACACAUGAUUCCCAGGAAAUUGAACAUAAUACUUGAGUGGUUAAUGACACCCAUGUGGAAAUAUUAAUCUGUGUUGGAAAAAGGUGAGUAAUUCACUGGAAUGUUUGAUAUUUCUGUAACAAUGACCAAAUUGUAAACAAAAUAGAAGUUCCAAUUGCAAAUCUUAAAAUUUUGCCUUUUAGUGACCAACUUGAAAUUUAGGCCAAAUUUUGUUUACUGAUGGAACAAUUUACACUCAUUUUUGUGAUCAUUCCAAUAUCUGCUUUUUGUAAAGCUGUUUGUUCUUUUUUUGGUAAAUAUCCUGUGGGAGCUGUUAAUUUAGAGGCAAAGGCAAAAAUCUAUGUUGUAAUUCAUGCACCAAUGUGACUCAACCUGCCGCAAUUUUUGUGCUGAUGAUGCAGUGCCAAUCCAUACCCCACCAUGUUUAUGAUGUUAACUAAUUUGACUGCAAAAGUUGUGAUGAAACUUGAUUGUUCUUUGGGAGUAAGCUUCCUUCAUCAUAAAAGCAAAAGUUGAAGAGGAGAGGAGAGGAGAGGAUAGGGGUUGGCAAAGUAGAGUUUAUGAUUUUUAUUCAUUCAGGAACCAUGUUAUAUCCUCACAUCAAAGCAUGCAUGUGAGACUAGGGGAACAUGUGUAAUGAGAUUAAAGCAUGUGCUACGCCGAUAGCAUUGCUGUUGCUGUUAGCAGCUUUAUCAUUCAUUAUUGUGUUGUAAGUAGCAUCAUAGUUGGUAUAUGGUGUUUGCAGUCUCAUGCCAUUGUAUAGAUAGCCGACUUCUUUUAAAUUCUCUUAUGCAGCUUAUAUCCUUGUCUGAAAAGAAGUGGCAGUAGAGUUUCAUUGAAGUCAUGUGGAUUCUGAAUUUGGACAAUGAAACCAAACCUUAUGAUCUGCAAUGUAGUUUCAAAGAUGGCGUAUCAUGAAGGAAGUCCGAUGAAAAUGGCAGCUAAAUUUUCAAGA